AUGGGCGGGGGGAGGCGGUGCAAACUCCGAGAGGUGGGAGGGGCCAUGCGGAAGGGGUGGAACCGCGGAGGGGCGGGGAGNNNNNNNNNNNNNNNNNGGUCCCCGCCCGCGGCGCUACCCCGGAAUAGCGUCAUCCGCUCUAUAAGACAGCGUGCGCCCGCGGCCUCGGCCUUUUUACGUCCGGGAAGCGUCGGACUCCGCGUCGCGAGGCGGCCACGUGCAGCCCUGGAUACCGAGGCCUGGGCCCUCGGGCAAAGGUUCGUGGCACAUACCAACUCCGGCGAAGGUCGUGAAUUCCGCCGUCGGCGUCCGGUGGCCAUCUUGAAUCUCGCCGCUGCCGGCCUGGUAACCUUGCGGCCCGGUACUACUCCCAUUCGGAUAAAGAAGGAGGCUGAGCUGACCCGAUGGAUGGUAGAAAACGUGACAAGAUAAUCCAGGAGUUCAAG
rnacentral:lncRNA from 1 species